GAACUGCUGAGGAGUCCCACAAUAGGACGGAACGGCCGUGCAGUGC
rnacentral:hammerhead_ribozyme from 1 species